CUCAGGAUGAACGCUGGCGGCGUGCUUAACACAUGCAAGUCGAACGAAGCACUUUGAUCGAUUUCUUCGGAUUGAAAUUUUAGUGACUGAGUGGCGGACGGGUGAGUAACGCGUGGGUAACCUGCCUCACACAGGGGGAUAACAGUUGGAAACGGCUGCUAAUACCGCAUAAGCGCACAGUACCGCAUGGUACAGUGUGAAAAACUCCGGUGGUGUGAGAUGGACCCGCGUCUGAUUAGCUAGUUGGCAGGGCAACGGCCUACCAAGGCGACGAUCAGUAGCCGACCUGAGAGGGUGACCGGCCACAUUGGGACUGAGACACGGCCCAAACUCCUACGGGAGGCAGCAGUGGGGAAUAUUGCACAAUGGGCGCAAGCCUGAUGCAGCAACGCCGCGUGGAGGAAGACGGUUUUCGGAUUGUAAACUCCUGUUCUUAGUGAAGAAUAAUGACGGUAGCUAAGGAGCAAGCCACGGCUAACUACGUG
rnacentral:rRNA from 1 species